rnacentral:rRNA from 1 species
AUUGAACGCUGGCGGCAGGCCUAACACAUGCAAGUCGAGCGGAUGAAGGGAGCUUGCUCCUGGAUUCAGCGGCGGACGGGUGAGUAAUGCCUAGGAAUCUGCCUGGUAGUGGGGGAUAACGUCCGGAAACGGGCGCUAAUACCGCAUACGUCCUGAGGGAGAAAGUGGGGGAUCUUCGGACCUCACGCUAUCAGAUGAGCCUAGGUCGGAUUAGCUAGUUGGUGGGGUAAAGGCCUACCAAGGCGACGACCCGUAACUGGUCUGAGAGGAUGAUCAGUCACACUGGUACUGAGACACGGUCCAGACUCCUGCGGGAGGCAGCAGUGGGGAAUAUUGGACAAUGGGCGAAAGCCUGAUCCAGCCAUGCCGCGUGUGUGAAGAAGGUCUUCGGAUUGUAAAGCACUUUAAGUUGGGAGGAAGGGCAGUAAGUUAAUACCUUGCUGUUUUGACGUUACCAACAGAAUAAGCACCGGCUAACUUCGUG